rnacentral:rRNA from 1 species
GACGAACGCUGGCGGCGUGCUUAACACAUGCAAGUCGAACGGAAAGGCCCUGCUGUUGGGGGGCGCUUGAGUAGCGAACGGGUGAGUAAUACGUGAGUAGCCUUCCACUGACGUUGGGAUAACGGCAAGAAACUGGGGCUCAUAACGGGAAGGAUCUCCUGCUGCUUGGUGGGGGUUGGAAUGUUUGGGCGGUUGGGGACGGGCGCCCGGCUUGUCAGUUGGUGGGGGGGGUAGUGCCUUACCAAGGCUUUGAUGGGUAGCCGGCCUGAGGGGGUGACCGGCAACAUUGGGACUGGAUUCCGGCCCGACCCCCUCCGGGAGGCAGAGGGGGGGAUUAUGGCACAAGGGGCGGAGGCCGGAUGCAGCACCGCCGCGGGCGGGAUGACGGCCUUCGGGUUGUAAACCGCUUUCGCCUGUGACGAAGCGUGAGUGACGGUAAUUGGUGAAGAAGCACCGGCUAACUACGUG